rnacentral:lncRNA from 1 species
GGAAAACGCAAGACCCUCUCACUUCUUCAGGAGGUGAAGUAGGGACUUUAACAUCUAAGCCGACGUUUGGGGACUUUCUCCGACACAGUAAGUCUGUUCCGAAGAAAUGUAAUCGCAGCCGGGGUAAAAGAAACUAAUGAAGAUGAUAAUUCGGAACACCCGUGGUUUAAUUCCCAGGGUAAGUUUGAUGCUGUUUUCUCUUAUGUCAAUAAAUUCAAUCUUGAUAUAGUAGUACUUGAACCUCGUAUUCAGUUCAAUAAUACAGAUAGUUUAUUUCAGUCUUGUUUUCCUAGCUGGUUAGCAGAAUUUUGUUUUGAGGGAUCCCUUGGGAAAAUCUGGUUAGUUUGGAGGCAAGGAAUCCCGCUGAAGGUUUUAGCUAAGAGCUCUCAGUUUAUCCAUGUUGCUAUAGAGUUCUCAGUGACAAGAUUCUAUACUUUCGUUUAUGCUUCUACUUGUCUUUGUGAUCGGCGCAAUCUUUUUAUGCAUCUUGCUAGACUUCACCCAAAUGGGCCCUGGCUUAUAGCUGGCGAUUUUAACGCUAUUCUUCAGUUAGAUGAAGCCUCGAAUCAGCCUUCUUCAUUUGCUG